rnacentral:rRNA from 1 species
GCUCAACCGAGGAAGUGCUUCGAAAACUGGUAAACUUGAGUGCAGAAGAGGAAAGUGGAACUCCAUGUGUAGCGGUGGAAUGCGUAGAUAUAUGGAAGAACACCAGUGGCGAAGGCGGCUUUCUGGUCUGUAACUGACGCUGAGAUUCGAAAGCAUGGGUAGCAAACAGGAUUAGAUACCCUGGUAGUCCAUGCCGUAAACGAUGAGUGCUAAGUGUUGGAGGGUUUCCGCCCUUCAGUGCUGCAGCUAACGCAUUAAGCACUCCGCCUGGGGAGUACGAUCGCAAGAUUGAAACUCAAAGGAAUUGACGGGGGCCCGCACAAGCGGUGGAGCAUGUGGUUUAAUUCGAAGCAACGCGAAGAACCUUACCAGGUCUUGACAUACCAUGAAAAGCUAAGAGAUUAGUCUUUCCCUUCGGGGACAUGGAUACAGGUGGUGCAUGGUUGUCGUCAGCUCGUGUCGUGAGAUGUUGGGUUAAGUCCCGCAACGAGCGCAACCCUUAUUAUCAGUUGCCAGCAUUCAGUUGGGCACUCUGGUGAGACUGCCGGUGACAAACCGGAGGAAGGCGGGGACGACGUCAAAUCAUCAUGCCCCUUAUGACCUGGGCUACACACGUGCUACAAUGGUCGGUACAACG